rnacentral:lncRNA from 1 species
UACCUUUCCAGUAACUGUUGCACAAAGGGACAGACACUGCUGCAGAGAACUUGCCACGGUGUUUCAUGCUGCGGCUGGUGGUUCCAGGCUGCACGCUCCAUUCUAGAAAGGGCCCUCAGCCCAGCCCCUUGCAGGCUGGACCUUGGAGAGUGAGGCCCUGAGACGAGACAUGGGCACCUGGCUUCUGGCCUGCACCUGCGUCUGCACCUGUGUCUGCUCGGGAGUCUCUGUCUCAGGGGAUGGACGAGGGCCAAGGGCUGGAACCUCCACCUGCCUCACCAACAACAUUCUCAGGAUUGAUUGCCACUGGUCUGCCCCAGAGCUGGGUCAGGGCUCCAGCCCCGGGCUCCCCUUCAUCAGGCUGCUGGUGGCACACAGAAGUGCAUCUGGCAGGGCAGUGAGUGCACUGUAGUGUUGCCGCCCAAGGCAGCACUCCUGCCAUCUGACAAUUUCAUCAUCACUUUCUACCACUGCAUGUCCGGGAGGGAUCAGGUCAGCCUGGUGGACCUGUAGUACCUGCCCUGGAGACACGAGCACGUCAGCUCGCCACUGCAUCCUGACCUGGAGCCUCAGUCCUGCCUUGGAGUCAAUGACCACACUUCUCAGCUAUGAGCUGGACUUCAAGAGGCAGGAAGAGGCCUGGGAGCGGGCCCAGCACAGGGAUCACAUUGUCGGGGUGACCUGGCUCAUACUUGAAGCCUUUGAGCUGGACCCUGGCUUUAUCCUUGAGGCCAGGCUGCGUGUCCAGACGGCCAUGCUGGGGGAUGACGGGGCACAGGAGGAGCGAGGGGAGCCAGCCCGUGUGCUUCCAGGCUCCCCAGAGACAAGACCCUCUGAUCCCACCCUGGGGGUGGCCAGGCAACACCUUUGUUGCUGUGUCCAUCUUUCUCCUGCUGACUGGCCCGACCUACCUCCUGUUCAAGCUGUCGCCCAGACUCGGAUGGGGGCCCACAGGGCUGGUGUGCUGCUGAGCCAGGACUGUGCUGGCACCCGAUGAGGAGCCUUGGAGCCCUGCGUCCAGGAGGCCACUGCACUGUUCACCUGUGGCCCAGCGGGUCCUUAGAAAUCUGUGGGCCUGGAGGAGGAGCAGGAAGGCACUGGGACCUGAGCUCAGAGCAUGUGCUGCCAGCAGGGUGUACGGAGUGGAGGGCACAGCCCCUUGCCUAUCUGCCACAGGAGGACUUGGCCCCCACGUCCACCAGGGCAUGUUACUCCCUUCCGUCCUUAGCAAGGCUUGGUCCUGGAUGU